rnacentral:misc_RNA from 1 species
GUGUCUGCCGGUAGAUCCCCCGUCUUUGUGCGGCCGACUACCGGCGCCGUGUCCCGUCGUUUGUGUGGCUUAUGUUACAGUUGCCUUUCAAGUGCUUGCGUGUUGGUACCCGAACUACGGGCAUUGGUGCGUUGUACUGAGUUGCCUCGCGGUGGACGCCUUCKGGUGUGCCGCUGCGGCCAAAUGGCGUUUGCGGCGUUUCCUCGUUGUGCCGGCAGGUUUACUCUGCCGGUGCUAUCAAGGCAACCUCGCUCCCGCUGUUGGUCUCGGAUGUUGCCUAUGUUAAAGUGUCUUGGCCCAUUUUGGUUGCCUUGACCYGACCCUAAGAAGCUCUCCGAAUUGAGAACAACCGGAACAGGUGUUGCCUCUACCUCUCCACAGUUAGUGGUAGGAUUACGCAACAUUCUGCGYCGAUCCUCAAACAAGUAGGAACGAGCUUAGCCCGCUCAAUCGCGACAACCGGCCCGGCUGUUGCCUCUGCCUUGACACGCAAGUGGAUGGGCGGACAACUUCCGACGCUGGACGUCAAAGAGGACG